rnacentral:lncRNA from 1 species
AGAGUACUAAAGAUGACUGACUGAAGAACUGUGGGUGACUGGAUGAUGAAAUAAUAGAUGAAAUUCUAUGCAGAAAACAUGAAGAAAACUCUAAUUUUAUUGAUAUGCAUUGGUGGUCUCAAAUUACUUUGUUAUGGCUUGGAAGUGAGAUUUUAGGGUUAUAACAUCUUUAAAAACAUCAGCGUAAAGUAGAUUUAUAUAGUAACUAAAUAAGGGGGAAUUGUUAGAAAGCAAGCAAAGAAGAAAAUAAAAUACUGUGUACGUUACAUAAUAUUUAUAAACCUGUAGACUAUGUGCAUCUUCAUACAGUAUCUAAUUCUGGUAUCUUCUGUCUUUGAAUUGAUACAGUGGAACUGGAAAAGUUUUUAGAGAAGGGUGAUAGGAAUGAUGAAUGGCAGUUAUGAGGAUAACUAAAAAGACUGAGAGACAGGUGGUUGAGAGGAAGUGAUAAUAUUCCAUGAAGUCAGAAGUGAUGGAAGGAGAGGAUGAGUGGGGAGUGAUUGUACUGUGGUUGCUUCGUUUUGUUUUUCAGAUGGCAGGACUAGAGAUUAUUAAAUGGAGUCUCCAGGUGGUGGCUCCAAGUAUACAAAAUGAGGUUGGUAUUCAGUUGAGCUCCAGUGCUCCUCCUUACCACUGUACCUCAUCCCCACUCCUCUGCAAAAAAUCAACCACCAAACAAACAACCAAAUCUCCUUAAAGUUUACUUGGCUUGAAAGUAGGUGGGCCAGUACUUGUAAGGUGAAUCCAUUAAAGUCUGUUAAAAGUAAAGACUGAGAAAAUCCUUUUGAACCAUGAAUUGCUGGACACCACCAAGAAUACUUGCAAAGAAUCCCUGUGUGCUUACCUGGUCUUUACUUGCUUUCCUAGGUGUGCUAUUUGACAGUAAAAUUAAAAAUAAUAAUAAGUUUAAAGGAAAAAAAAAGAAAAUAGUAAGGUAUUCUAUAAGGUUCUGUCUCUGGUUCUGAUAGAACUCCUUCAUGUUUCUCUCUCACAAUUGUUUGCUAUGGUUGUAAGUUCUGUUUUAGGAAGUUUUAGGAAGCCUUCACAUCUCAAGUGAAAUUCUUAUAGAAUCUCAGUAUGAAUUCUGGAAAAUGUCUACGUUGUGAAACACUCCUUGGCAAGGAGACUGUGGAGGCAAACUGAUCUGAUUUCUGUACAGUGGUGUCCAUCAUUUCUUCUGAGAUGCAAGUUGUGAUCUGACCGAUCUCCCAGCACUGGCUUGUUUCAGUGUUCAAAAGAAAAUGGUAAGCAUGUAGUUCCGUUUUCAAACAAUCACCUCUUUAAUGACUUUUUAGUUUUCUUUUGCAGAAUGUGUAUGUUUUGCUUUUGAAAAACUAUAUUGUAUUCCUUAAAAAUGUUGCCAGCUAAAAAUUUGUUUUAUUUCAGAUUUGGUGCUAAAAAUCUUUUCUUUGUCAGCAAUUCAGUAUAUGAGUCUGGUAUAGAAUUACAGGAAUGAUUUUGAAGUUGUGUUUUUAUUCCCCGGAAUGUGAAUUGUUAAAGGAGAAAGGAAUUAGUAAUAUUCGUAUGGGGAUUUUGAGCAUGAUCUAAAUGGAGUCAAUAGAAAUCUUGACCAUUUAAUGAAAAUCUUGAAAUAACUAUCUGGUUCUCUUUAGCUAAAAAAGAUACUAACUUCAAAUUGAAAAAAAGAAAUGCAAAGCAAUACCCCUCAGUACUGACCUGGACUUUGCUUGUGGUGUCAGUGCUAAAAUUACCCUGACUUGUACUGAAGCCCAGGGAAUUAAUGAGCUGCUUGUCAAUUUUAAAAUUAAUGAAAAAUGAGUAUUGGAUGGCAUGGAUAGACUUGACAUUUGUUCUAGGCCAAUUCUUCUCACCUCUUACCUUUUCAUUUCUCAAAGAUGAGUGGAAGUAUCACCUGUAUUAUGCUCAAUGCUAAAAUUAGCUGAGAACAGUUGGAAAGAAUUAAGCUGGCUGACCCUUAUGUUUUCCAUCUGACAACAGGAAGUAUUGACUCUGUAUCUGUCUCUGUUUGGAAUUUCCAGAUCUUACAGCCUGGAACCACUUACAAUAUUUGAGACUGAAAUUCUUGCAGUUUAAGGUAGUCAAGGCUAUGCUGUUUUAAGGCUGUAGUCUGACUUCAUGUGUCAUUGUGGUAGCUGUGUCUGGGAUAUUACUGAAGUAGUGAAAAGAGAGUAAUGAUAAUUGUAAAUGUCAGUAUUGGAUACAAGUUUAUAAUGCUGCAGAAUUGCUAUUUGCUUUCACAGAGUAUGUUCAAGUUUUUUUUGUUUUUGUGGGGGAGAUACAAAGAAGGCACUUAGCACUACAGUGGAACCUGUGGUAUGAGAGCUGUUCUGAAGCUGCAGAAAGUCCUUGCUUUCUGGAAUAGCAAGGAAAAGUGCAAAUCCGUUUUAGGGAGGCCUAGCCUUCCUAUAAAGAAAUCUGCUGAGUGUGAAGCCAUGGAUGCUCUUCAGAAUAAUUUGUGCAUUGCUUCUGCACAUUCCACCUGCCACUUUGGUCAGUGAGGAACUAGUGAAGUGAAGAGAAAAUGACAAGAAGUGAUUUGGAGAAACAAAACAAAGGAGAAGUAAAGGUAAAAGGAAGACUGACAAAUACAGGAUGAAAAGUGAAUUGAAAAGGACAAGUUCAAUGAAAGAUCAGUUUGGCAAACAGAAAUAGGAAGGACAGAUGAAAUUGGCAAUAAACGAAGAGAAAGUUAUGGGAGUAAGGGUGAAGAAUUUUUGUUUGGUUGUUUUAGCUAUGUUCUAAAAGCUCCUUAAAAUCUUCCAUAUUAGUCGUUCUGCCUUAAAUGAUUUAGGUGCUGGAGAACUGCUGGCUUAUAUUUAAGCUAUUUUAGUUCUGUCAUUGGAGAUGGUUCAUGGGGGGUAGUUGCUGACAAGUUUUGAAUAUAAAGAAACAAAGCGACCCAUAAGUGAUUAAUCUUAAUUGUUUAGUUGUAAAGGGGCAGGAUUUUCAGCUGGUUAUUUUUCUUUUCAGGAUACAACUGUGUGUGUGAACAGUUGUUUCAUUACAAUUCAGUUAUCAGAUGGGGUAAUCAGACUGAGAAAAUAGCACUCUUAAGAGGCUGGAAUGGAUAGAGUAGGUUAGUUGGAAGGGGGGGAUGCACGAAGAUAUCUAGUGCAACUGUCUGACCAUAUCAUGGCUAAUGAAAAGUUAAAGGAUAUUAUUGAGGGCAUUAUCCAAAUGACUCUUGAGCACUGACAGACAUGGGUCAUCAACCAUGGGAAGCCUGGGGAACUGCUGGGAAGUGUUUGACCCCUCUCAUGGUUAAAAAAAAAAAAAAAAAAAAAUUCUUUAAUCUGAACCACCUCGAUGCAAUUUUGUGCUAUUUCCAUACAUCUUGCCAUGUGGAAGAUCACAGGAAGAAGAUUUCAAGCUGGCUGUCUCUUGAGCCACGCUAGCUAUAUCUGCAAAACAUAUUUUGUUUAUGACUUGCAAGGAAUGUCCUAGUGAUAACAACUCAAGAUAAUUAUAUGUGCUUAAUAAAAUAUCUGAGGCAUAUCCUCCUUUCCUUACUGACCAUGCUGCAGAAAAGCCUUGAGCUGCUCUAGAGAAAGUACUGAGUCCUUAUGUUUUAGUGCUACUGCAGCCACAACUUCAUAAAGGGUUUUAAUGCUCCAGCACAGAAGAUAACUUUCGGGAGAUAGAGACGAAUGAGUCUUCCUGAAUCCAGGAGCCAAGCUCCCCAUGUGGAGAUGCAUGGCAAAUAUGUGAGUUGCUGUUGCCCUGGAGCUACAGCAACAGCUGCCAAGCAGCUGGGCUGAGCAGGGAGGACCUCUGAUGUACCUUUUCAGCAAAUUGUCCAUUUAUUUUGAUUCUGCAUAGAGUUUAGGAUUUUGGCAAGAGGAACUAUGGAAAAGACAGAAUGGAUUUAGGAGAACAUGGGAAGCACUGGAAAAUUCAGAGAUACCACAUACUAUAAUCACAAACAAGUCUAUAUGAGCUGAACCCUGGGAUGAUAAUAGACUUGGCAGUCAAUUUCUCUGAACCUCUUCCACUUUCUAAAAAUUUGCAGAUAACUGAGGCAAGAGGGACAAUUGAAAAACUACGGGAAUGGUAUUGGUAUUUGGAUCAGUAGCGCAAAGAGUUGAGCAAGGAAAAUAUGUUUGAAUGAAGAAAUUCUUAGCGAAAUUGUGAGUUUGUUUGUUUUCAUUUCAAUUUUUCUAAUAAACAGUAAUUGAAGGUAGUAACAAAUACAUCAGAAAUGAAGUUACCGCAUCUAUGCAGGGAAGUUGUAGAUUGGUUGUUCAGUGUAUCACAGUGUACACAGUCAGCUGAGAAUUUGUAUAGUUUCCCUGAUGGCUUUAUUUUCUAAACAGAAUGGGUUAAAUUUAGUAUAUGAUGGUACAUAACUUGUCUUAGAACAUGUGUGAAGAGGGAAUAAAAAAAAAAAACAACACAAAGCCUAAUUUUCCUUAUUUCUGACCAUGGAAAAGAGCUUAUGCUUAAAAUGGGGAGAAAAAAAACAGGAAUGGACCAUCCCUUGAUUUUAUGCACGGAAAGGAGUGUGCGUGAGUGAAGAAUACCUGGAAUUUGGCUAUGCAAAAAUUGUGAAAAAGGUCUGUUUUCCAAUAUGCAAUUGGUGGGAUAAAAUACUCACUUGAAUAAAUUCAGCUGUGUUCAGCUAUACACCUGUGUUAUAUUGAGCAGAAGUUUCCUCCCUGAAACUGCUUCCUAAAGGGUUAUGCUCCUCAGAAUAAGGACAUAACAGCACAAACAGGACAAUAUCUUCUUAAAAUUAAAAAUGUCUCUUUAUCAUUAGGAGAUUGGCUAUAUAACACAUCUGUUUGAAACUACCAAAGUGCGUUGGGUGCAUACAUGGCUGCUGAUAGGAGCUGGUAGGUAGAUGGAGCCAUAGAUACUUUGAUGCCAUUGCUUUUUUUUUUUGGUUUUGUAUCUCAUUUUAUCUGGGUAAAACAGGAAAAAUCUGGUAGAUAUAUUAUUAUAGGAAAAUCUGUUAGCAAAAGCACAAAUUAGAGCUUCAUCACAAUGGGAUCUGUUUAAUCCUUCGCAAAGCAAAUAUCAGAGAGCUUCAACAACAGUUCUGACCACCCUGUCAGUUGUGAGUGACAGUUGCUUGGAUUCAGCUUCCUAGAUGGAUGCAUGUUUCUGAUCUAUGUUUUAAUCAUCUGUUUUCACUGUUAAUACUGCUUGAAUAGUUUCAGUCUAUUGUUGGAGUAACUUGCAGAAAUCCUGUACAAUUUUCUGCUGCAGUUCGCAGGCAUUUCUUUUAAAACAGGGAAAAGCUGCUUUUUUUUUUUUUUUAAGCAUUCAUGCUGCUCUAUCAGGAGGUAUUCAGGUUUCUUUUCUCUUGCCCUGCACUCAGGGUUUAAACCACAAUUUCAAUUCCGCUGGUUUUGGGCUGGUCAUUGCUAAAAUCUAAGAAAGGCUAUGGAUGAAGCCUGAGUGUGACUGACAUGUUCGUAUUUAUCAGAAAACAGAGUCAGCAGGAAAGAAUGAGUGGAGUAAUUGUUAGAUUGUUCCCUCCUUCACUGUUUGUGCAAAAUACAUAGGCUGCAGGGAGGAAGCUACCUGAGGUUAUUAAGAUUAAUACUGGUAGAAAUUCCAAUCAGCUCACACAAGGCUGCUCCUCAAGGCUGUCAGAUGCCUACUGCCUUCUCUGAUUCAGGUGGGGCCACAUCAAUUUUGAAUUUCCCAACAGAGAUUGCUGUGAUUUAUGAGUUUAGGAGGCUGAUAAAUAUGGUUAGUUGAAGUGUUUGUGAAAUAAUUGAAUCAGAAUAAUUUCAGUCAUCUGUGCUCAAUUUAUUUUCUCCAGUAACCACAGGAGGGUGCAGUUCUGCAUUGGGAGCUUCAUCUCAAGGAUUCCUAUCACAGGAAAGACAUUGUGGAACCUAGAAAAGAGCAACUUAAUUUUGUUGUCAGGCCCGUGUGACAGCCUUAUGAGCUGAUUUAAGACCCAUCAGAACUGGAGAAGAUCUUGAUUGGAUCGUGAACAAUCCAGUUGUGAAAGGAGAUGACAAGGAGUAGAGAAGAAACUCUGAGAAGAAUCUGGAGAAUAGGUAUGGAAGUUUGUUAGUUUAUUAAAAAUCACUGAAAUAAGAACUUAAGUAUUCUGUUCAGUAUCUUGGUUUUGCUCCUACAAAAGCCAUUAUGUAUGUAAAAGCCACUGCAUGAUAAAGAUAGAUCCAGUGCCUGAAAUGUGGAAAAGGAAUAGAGGUGGUGUCACACAGGUGGUGUUCUCUCACAUAAAAGCAAGAUGUUUGGUAACUCCUGUAUGGGGUGGUGCACGUCAUUUAUGUGUUUGUGUGAUAUAUACGUGUGAAGUAGGAGCUGCUGCUUUCUCAGAAAUGUGCAGAGUAGAUAGGUCUUGUCUCUGUGGCUCCGGCAGUGUUAAAAGUGCUGCUGCUUCCUGAGACUAAAAGAGUAACACUGGUAAUAAGUGGGUUGGGGCACCCUGUGCUGAGAUACAGAACUCCCUGCCUGUUAGGCACCGCCUGGUUGCUUGCAUGUUUACUGCAUGCCUUUGCACAGUAAAUACUUGGACACCAAAUUUUAAGUGUAGGAAUUCAGAAUGAUCUAAGCAGUCACUGACUUCAUUUAUUUUUUAAUGAAGGUAUAAUAGUUUAUUCAGUUACAGCACCUGACGAAGUGAGUCAGAGGAAACAUUUCUUUGUUUACUUGAGACUUUUCCUCUUUUCCUUCCUCCAACUUCUACCCCCUUGGCCACCAGAAGUUACAGUGAAAGCAAUUGCAUGUUUGCUGCUUUAUAAUGUAUUUGUAUAGUGCCAUCAUUGUAAUGCUUGUCAACCUUGUUGCAGCAUUAGGUGGCCCCAAAAGUAAUGCCUCCUGUUUAUUUCCAUGAAAGUUAUGCCUCUUAUUUAUUUCCAUGGUAGCUACAACAGAUAUAAAGUGCACAAUAACUCAGUUUGAUAGAGCAGAUUCUCAGAUACAAAACACUUUUUCAGUAUAGUCACUACAAUUAGCUAUGCAUUUCUGCCAGCAGCAAACAAGAGUUUGUGUGUCACACAUUGAAAUCUGCACAACAUUUCAGAACUUGGCUUGUCUUUCACAUUGCUGCCACCACUACUGAAAUGCACCACCCACCACCUCACUGUGCUCACAUCCACUGUUUGGUCUCCAUAAAUGUUCAACAAGUAUUAAUGGAUGCAAUUUUUCCCACACGAAGGAAUUUAGUUCCAUACCUUAGCUUCAUAUGCACUUCCAUGUCAGUGCCCUUCUGCUGCCACCUGUCACACAGCAACAAAAUGUAGUGGAAUACUGGCAGGAAGGUUCAACCCCUGCUGCCAUAUCACCAAUAUCUGCCUCUGACAUUAUAGAUCAGCAUAAUAAAAUAGGAGGCAUUACUUUCAGAGUAGCCAUUGUAAGCGGAAGCUGCUUGUUGUGUCACAGCCAAUGGUCUUGUAGUUAACGGGUAUUUCUUAAAUCACCAUAAAAUCUAUCUUUAUACUGAAAUGAAUUAAAACCACCAGUUUUAGAUGAGAAAGGAGAGUACUGAUCAGUAUAAUCAAUUCUUUGUUAAUGUAUCUAUAUUAAUAUUUGUUAUACUACAGAUUUUGAUAGGGAGGUGUAUACCUGCUGUGUUCACCGGAAAAUAUUAUAUAGUAAAGUUUUUAUUUCUUAAAUUCCUAAUCAGGAGAGAUGGAUUAAAAUAGUGUUUUGUGCUCAGCAUUUUGUGCUAAUGGUCAAUAGCGUUAAUCAAAGGUCAAAUUCAGUUGCCUGACUGUAGCUGUAAGACAAUCCUAUGAAUGCUGAUGCUUUGCAGAAAUCUGUAAGAUUCUCAAGAAACAGCAUGAAAAGACUGUACUUUGAAGGUGGGUAGCAGUGUUAAAAAUCUCAUGUUUUCCACUUAAUGUCACUGGUAUGUUAUAUCACCCACUGGAAAUGCUUUUGGCAAUCAGUCAGAAGGUAAUUUACUAGAUUCCUCUUUAUAGAAUGGGAAAGUUUAGGUUCUUAUGUUCAGAAUUAACUUGUAUUUAAGUUACUACUUAUCUUCAUGUAAGUGAUUCUUCUACUCUUAGAGAUUCAUAAGAUAGUGUGUAAAGUAGUUUUAUCCCUUUCUAAAGGAUUAUCUGUUAUUGGUGAUUUCCUGUUUAUGCAAAUACAUAGAAAUUUGCAUCUGAGAAAAUGCUUGUUGGAAUACAGUUCUUUCAAAUAGAUAACAUUGCAAGAUGUAAGUGGUAGAAAAAAUAAAGGUGUUAUUGUCUUCUGUAAAAACUGAAUAGGCUUCUUUGCUUAGGAAAUUAAAUUGCGGUGUUUGGAUUAGUGAUAGGACUAGAGGGAAUGGCUUCAAACUGUGCCAGGGAAGGUUCAGGCUGGAUGUUAGGAAAUAUUACUUCUCGGAAAUGGUGGUCAGGCACUGGAAUGGGCUGCUCAGAGAGGUGGUGGAGUCUCCGACCCCGGAGAUGUUCAAGGAACAUUUCGAUGUUGUGUUGGGGGACAUGGUUUAGUGAGAACCAUUGGUCAUGGCUGGAUGGUUGGACUGAGUGAUCCUGUGGGUCUUUUCCAACCUUGAUGAUUCUAUGAUUCUACAUUUGUAACGACAAGCUUAGGUAAAACAAAUCAGUGUGUUGAAGUAAAGAUUUCUCAAAGUCUUGAGCAGAUCUUUAGUGGAAUAUGACCAAUUUUGUCCAAAAGAAAAUAAACAAAAUGGGAAAGGUGGACAUUUUUAUAGUUAUGUCUCUCUAAUACCCACUUUGAGGCAUCCAUGAGAUUAAUCUUUUUCUAAUCUAAAAAAUGAGCACUACUGACCAGCACUAUGUACUCAUAAGUUCAUUCAAAUAUAUUAAACUUACAAAGGGAGAGAAGUUUAUGUAAGUUCUAUGAAAAUCAUAUAAACGUACUAUCAGAUCUAAUCACUUUUCUAAAUAUCAUAUUUUAGACAGUAAUAUGAAGACUGAACCAGCAUUCUUCUACUGUGUUGGUUUAAACUACUUGCCUUGUUUCACCAAUAUAUGUUAACUUGAGGAUUAGGAGUGACUGUUUCAGGGGGAUGAUGAAUGUGUAGAUAACUAAUAUCUGGACUUAGAUCCCCAUGUCAUGAGCACAUAAAAAUAGCAGGCUAAACCUUCUGGUCCCAAUUAACAAACUGAAAAUACUCUCCAGCUUCUUUUGAGAAAAGUGUCGUGAUGUUUUUGGAAAGUAGGAGGGGUUAAUUUUUCGUUAUUCAGAAAUAUGAGCCAAAUCUGUUCAGCGAGGAGAGUGAAACUGCAAGUUUCAGGUAAGUGAAGCACAUUUUCAGUGCAGUCAAAUCUUGAAUCCACAGAUAUAUGCAUGGAAAUGUAGCCACUUCUUAGAAUCAUAGAAUUGUUUAAAUUGCGAGGAAACUUUUAAGGCCAUCUAGUCCAACUCCCUUGCAAUGAACAGAAACAUCUACAGCUAGACCUGGUGCUCAGAGCCUGGUCCAUGUCUCUGGGGAUAGAGUGGGCACCCACCACAUCUCCUUUCCUAAGAGCGUAAUAAGCAAGACAUGUUUCUGGAAGGUAGAUGUUGGCAGCAAGGUUUAGAAUAGAGCAAAUGAGGAGACUGUGAGAGAGUUACAAGACAGGAAGGGAACAGACAAGACAGCAAGGCCUCAAACCGUACCAGUGCCAGGAGGAGGCUGCAUUAUUCAUGUGCUAGAAAGACUGUAAUGGCUGCUGGAUUAGAACAAGACUGAAGAGGGAAUACCUGCUCUGUAUUGACAUGGUAGGAAGAAGGGAGCUUUAUUUCUAAAGCUUUUUACUUCUUCCUUUUUUGUCCAACAUGAAACUUUGCUGCUUACAAGUCAGAUUAUUUUACUUCACGUUAAGAGAUUACAGGCACCUUGGUGUUCUGAAGUGUUUGUUUUCAAGGCAAGCUGUGGGUAGUUUUGCUUCAGAAAUGUGCCUGGCCUCAUCUCUUGCUCAGCAGUGGUUGUAGAAUUCCUUUGUUUCUUGUGGUCAUGUUUUGUGUUUCUUUUUGCUUUCUGCUUGUGCCAUUCUUUUAUGUGAUGUGACCUGGCUGGUACACUUCUUUCCUGUGUUUGAGGUAAACGAAUAAUCCAUUAUUUAGCAAGGAGAGUCUGUUAAAACAUUUGUCCUUUUACAGUGAGACGGGUAGAGUUUGUCCUCACUCUUGCUCCUCUGCUAUGCUGUCUUGUUGUUAUUCAUACAUUGGGAACAGCAGCAGUACUAGAUCCUUCCAUUGGGUUCAAUCCUAACUUCUUCCAGGGGUCUCUUGCUCUUGAUCUCAUGACUUCUGGUUGUAACAUUAUCUGCCCUUCAGAUGGUACUAUGAAACUAGCUACCUCCCUGUGCAAUUGCCAGGCCAUUCUUUACUACUGACUACUGGUCUGUGUAGCUCACCAGUUUGUUUGUUAUAGUGGCCUUUGUAUCCUUUGUAAUCCCCAUGAUCACAGAUGUAUCUCUGAUCUUAUCCUUUAGAGCUCUCCUUCUGGCUUCCUUAAAAGACUAUUCCAGCAGGCAUUAUUGAAUCAGACGUUGUCUCUGGGAGACAAAUGUAGCUGUCUCUUCUUUCAAGUACAGUUCAAGGCUAUGGCCAAGGUAUUAAGAUUCCAAACUGGACAUGACUCACAGCUGCAAGUAGACAUAGAACAGAUGGUUCUGGUUGUACUGGGUGUCUUUGCUGAUUUUCUGUGUAUUAUAACCUUUAUUGACUGUUCUUCCACUUGGGAAUUUCUUCUAUUUGUUGCUCGAAUGAACCUGGAUAUGGAAAGUAGUAAUGUCAGCAUUGCAAGUGCUUGAAUUUCCUGUGUUCUCUCUCUCUGGGUAUUCUGACCAUGUUUUUAUUUUAUACUGAGUCCUACCUGUUUGUAGUCUCAAGAAGAAAGAAACUGGAUUAGUAAAUAAGACCAACUGUAUUGGUGAAGAAGGAUGUAGAAGAGAAGACUCCUAUGUAAAAUCUAUAAUUAAAUUCUGAAUCUCUAUGUGUAAUCUUGAGAGAGAGCUGCCAAGCACAGAAGAGAACAUAUUCAGACCUAGAAUUCAAUAAUCUAAUUUGGAACUUUAGCUCAAUUAGCUAUUUCAAGAGACUCAAAUAACACGCAGAAGUCCUUUACUGUGUAAACUUUUUGUGUUGAAAGCAGUUUGGUUCACUGUGUGAUGAAGUGCAUGACCAUUUGGUACAUUAUCAAGGAUUUGAACAGGCAACUUUUGAAAAAUAAGACAGAAUAUCUACUGCUGUGGCGUUCUGAAGGAAUAUAUUUAUAGUGUAUUAUAGCAGUGAAGCUCAUUGCAGGAACACAUUGAAGCAGAGAUCAGAAGGGCAUUACUCUGUGGGAAUAAUGGAAAUGUUCACAUGGGAUACAUGCCUUGUAUUAGGACACAACAGUUGACUGAAUUUAAGACGAAGUGUCUGUACAUCUAUAGGUUUCUUCUGUUCUCGAAACAUCUGAUACCAACUGGAGUUCAAGACAGAAUGCUUAGAUGAACCUUGGUUGACAUUGGGAUGUCCGUCUGUGUAAUUUGAUAUAUGUUUGCUAUUUCCAUGAAUGCAUGGGGGAAUUGAAAAUUACAUGUUUUGUCUCAGUCUAAAACUUUGCACAAAUUUUGAUUUUCUGGCUUUUUUUUUUUUUUUUUUUUGCCAUUUAUAUAAGAUAGCUGUUCAUAUAAAAUCUGAAGAAAGAAAUUAGCAGGAGUGAGCAUGAGUCCAAAGAGCUGAACAAUUUCAUAGCCAUGGGAAGAUUUAAUAUGAAAAUUAUGGAUGUCACGGAUUAUUUUCUUCAGUGUAGGAAUUGUAUUAAUUGUAGCUUGCCAUCAGUGUUAAACAAGGAUUUUGAAUUUAGCCUGUAGCAGUAUUGCAGGAGUUUAUACCAAGUUACAGUUCUGUGCAGCUGCUGAAAACUCCCACUCAAGCCUUGAAAAUGCAUGAAUGCAGAGCUUCCGCUCCGUCGGUCUUCUUUGAAAAAUAUGAGAACAGAUUUUGCUCUAAUGCAUGCCAAUAUAAAUCUAGAAUUACUUCAGUGGUGAUCGUUGAACAGUUUUCAUCGGUGCAAGUGAAACAGUGUUUUUGUUCAUCAAAACAGAUGUGGAUUUAUGGGGGAGGGGAUGACUAAGGAGGCUAAGCUGUCCAAUUAGCAUGAGACUGCCUAGCGUGCUCCCUUUAAAUUGGGACUGUAUCUGUUCCUGAGUGACAGUAACCAGUGCAGCAAAACAGAAGUUAAGCAGAGGUUAUAGCUAUGCCAAAAUAAGCGGCUCUUUCACUUGUAAUAGAAGGUGCAGACGUUCGUGCAGCGCCCAAACUGCUUUUGUCAUUUUUUCAAAAGCACCAGAGUAAAUUAAGAAACAAGUUGAAUUAAAAAGGUUGGUUUUUUUGUUUGGUUUUUUUUGUAAUUGGAACUUCAGCCUGUAAAUUGCUUUAGGAGCAUUUUCAAAGUCCAUUCUAAGUCACUGUAAUUCAGUUUUCCAUUAAAUCAUUAAGAUAAAUUUCAGUAGUAAUAUAGUUCAUAAGCAUAACACACCAAACGUAUCCCUGCUCCGGUACCACUGAGGGAAACGUAAUGAAGUAAGAAGACUAAUAGUCUUAGGAGAUUUUAAGCAUGCAUUUGGGGUUGCUUCUACUUGUAUCAUUGGUGAAUUUCACCCUGAAAAUUAUUUUCAGGGCAUACAAGGGAGAUGUACAUAUUAUAAUUAUGAAAAAAUUGACCUUAUAAUGUACUCAUUUUAAAUGCUUCAGGAAUUACACCCACCACAGCCAUGUUUCUUCCUUCUCUGUGCAACAAAGAAGCUAGGUGUGGUCCUGGGGAGAGCAGGGGGGGGUUGUGUUUCACUGCUUCAGAGCUGUAUAGAUGGGUUGGGUAAAGAAGCGAAUUCCAGUGAGGCGCUGCUAGUUCCUUCCUGGUCAAUGAUAAGUGGAAUUUUUGGCAUUAGAUUUAGUCUGUUUAAAACCAGACUUCUAGAUUGUAAUAGUAAUUUCUAAUUGUACAUCUCAUUGCCGGGGACAGCUGGAAAAUGUCAUCACAUCUAUCUCAGGAUGUUAAUUGUCUGGUGAAAGUACUUGUCUCUCUCUCCUGUGAUUCUAUAGGAAACUUAUGCAACUAUCUAUUAGAAAUUAGAAUUUUUUAUUAAAAAUGAAUGAAAAAAUCUUAUUAUAAAUAUAAUAAGAAGCUGUUAGGAAUCAAGAAAUUACUCAUGCCUGUUUAUGUACAGGAAUGCACUGAUUCAGAUAUUUCUAUACAUAUUUAUUUUAUCUUCAUUCAAAAUGAUGUGCGGCUCCAGAUUAAAAAUCAGCUCUUCAAUAAGUUUUUAGAUUUUAUUGUAAGUAGAGUAAGUCCUGUUUGGAGACCUCCAUGCCUGGUACAUGUUUUGAUAUGUUCUCCAGAAGGGAGGUCAGAGAUCAUCCAGCCUGAUCUCCUGCCCAGAGCAGAAGAGACUUCAAAGUUAUUUGAAAUUGUUCAGAUCCAGGUGAGUUCCAAAUAUCACCAAAAUGACCCAGAAAAGUUGUUGUGUGCUAUAUUGAAGUCAGCAAUCCACGUGCACACUGUUGCCACUGCUGAAACGCACCACACACCACCUCAGUGUGCUCACAUCCACUCUCUGAUCUCCAUACACGUUUGACAAGUGUCAAUGAAUGUAAGUGGGUGCAAUUUUUUUAUGCAUUGGAGCAAUUCAGGUACAUCUUUGCUUCACUGGCAUUUCUGUGUCAACCACGAUUUUGUCAGUGUGCCCCUCUGCUGUCAUCUGUCACACAGCAACAGAAUGUAAUGGAAUGCUGUGGGUAGGUUUAGCCUCUACUGCCACACCACCAACAUCUGCUUCUGACACUGUGGGCCAACAUAAUGAAAAAGGAGGCAUUAUUUUCAGAGCAGCCUUCAUAGCCCUCAAUGUUUCUUUGUCCUUUCAAGAUGAAUGAGAAGUAUUGUUUAUCUUUAUGCAGUCUUAAGGUAUUCAGGUAGUACCAUCGAUGUUGGUGUUGUUCUGUGAUUUAGCUUGUAAUUUCAGCAAUUUGAUUCAUUUCGUGCAGACUUUGGAUCCAAAUAAAGCUCAAAUGACAAACCCAACUUUUUUUUUUUUUUGUAGGAGGAUUCAACCUGUUUUUGAGAAGUGCUUCUUCAUAGGCAUUCUUAUAGACUUGUCUGAGGGCCCUGCUCUGUAUUUUGCAGGAUCAAAUUUACAAAGUUGUCUACUCUGAUUUUUUCCUUGAUUUCAAGGUACCCUCUUCUGCCUGCCCUGCUGCACAUUAUAAAUUUCUUUCAUAUAACUAGUGUUCCCACUGAGGUGCAGAUACUUUGGAUUCAGGAAUAACUGUAGAGGUGAAGCUUUCCUAAGAAUUUUUAUUUCUAUUAAAACUUACAGCAUUAAUAUUUUUAGUAAGACAUUUCAUCUUAUAUUACAGAAAGUAUUCUUUUCUGAGUAGGUGAGAUUUGUUAUCUCUCUGUGGGGAUUCCUUCUCAUGUCAUAGCCAAAAAAAUUGUAGUUUUAAAUCUUAUAUUUGGACUUCGUUAUGCUAGGCAGGACCUUGCAGUGCAAAAAGCCAGAUGUUUUAAAGCAUUAAAUAUACACUCUGUUGCAUACACCUAGCCAAAUUAAUUAUUUAGUAAAAUAUUUGCUGUGGAGCAGCAGUUAAUAGAAGAGUGACAGAUGUCAUACACAGAAGUGACCAUUUGACGAUGUUGCUUUAUGUUCUGUUGUGACAGCUAAAUGAAGCAACUCAACAGCUGUCAGUAUGUUAAUGUUUUGGAUUAAAAAACCACACUUAAAAGAACUUUUCUCUGAUUUUCAAGUGGCAGUGAGUUUGAAGGCACCUUGCCUCUUUGCAGAUUGUUAAAAGUUUUCUAAAUGAUUCACGAACGCAGUGGGGAAUAACAUUGAGCUGUAUGGUAGACCAGUGCAUUUUACUUUCUUCAGAGCUAUGCAACUCUGAACCUCAGUUGACCUUAAAAAUUCCCAUUCAGUUUAAAUAGGAGAAAUACAGCAGAUUUAAAGAACAGUUUUAGUCAGCUAGAUAUUCUUUGUUUUAUAGUCUUUAAUAAGCAUAGGCCGAAAAAAAAAAAAAAGAGAAGCAUUCAACUUGGGAAAACUGAAGAAAGAAAUCAAUCCAAAAAGCUAGAAACACACAAACAUUAACCUAAUAUAACUUCUGCACAUUUCUUCUGAAUUCAAUCCAGAGAACUGAGGGCUGAAUGCAUUUUCAUUUUAGAUAUUUCUAGUUUGUUUUUUGUUUUGUUUGUCAGUGAUUGAUUUAUAAUGUAGUUAGUUGAACCUCCAAAAAAUCCUGUUUUGCAUGAAGAUUUUCUUGAUUACCUUUCCAGGCUCUGCUAUUUUAGAAUCACAGUGCCUGAAUUUAACAUGUGGACAGAUUCAGUUAUAUGUACCUUAUACUUUUCAAGUAGCUGUGAUACUUACUUAUUUUUCAGGAUCUGAGGGAACAUCUUCUGUUGUUGUGCAAAAUGCAGCUGGUGGAAUUCUCUUUAGCAUGGUGCUUUUCGUUCCCAGUUGUCAAAUUGAAUAGGGGCAUAUCCUUUCAGCAUCAAGGCUGCUCGAGAAGCCAUGAGAACAAUUAUUAUCACAGUUUAGUCUUCCCCACCUGGUGUUCUGGCUGCUUUCUUCAUUGAGUGUCUGCUUCUGACUGUGGCUGACUGGCUCAUGUCAGAAAAUGAGAAAUGCGGAGGAUGCCCAGAGUAUAGACUGCUCACCAAGGCUUACAGGAGUGAUUUAGUGAGAGGAUUCAUCAUCGUCAGAACAUCUUGAGAGUUGAAAAGAAGCAUUUAUGAUGGCAUCUGAGAAACCACAAGAGAGCUUGAUAAUGGAAAAAUAUCUUUGCAUUUCUCUUUAUCUGUUUCUCUCCUAAAUUGCAGCACUCAUCAAUUAGCAGGCAGUUUCAGUACCUUGUUCUGUGAUCUUUUAGCAUGCUCCUGUCUACUAUCCUCUAGCUCAGCUCAGAGGUGCCUCUUCCAAUUCUCACACAUCUGUCCUUGAUUUGGCUAUUCUUAAAUAAUAAAGUACUUCUGAAUAGUAUGGAAGAAGUGGAAGAGAAACAGCAAAGAAAAAAGUGGGUGUUUGGACUGCAGGUAAGUCAGGUAUGAAGUGUAGCAGCAGCAGGGCAAGAGUUUCACCACCAGAUAUUCUCAGUUCUCUGGUGGGAUGCACCAUUCAGAGCAGUGUAGGACAUCCUUGUUAGCCCCAGUGAUUUACAAGCCAUUGCAGUGUCAACUGGAGUUGAUGGAAGUAUUAAUGGGAAAUUCAUCAAUGAGGAGCUUAAUGACCUAAUGCUGAGGAAAAUCAUUAAAUAGGAAUUCAAGGUAUUCUUUCUCAGUUCUACUAAGAGUAGAGUUGGGUUAACAUAGGGCACUGCAACUCAGUAGUUAGAUACCUGAGUUGUUUUAAUUUUUUGUAACAAAUUUGAACAGUCAGAGCCAUAAGCGAAGUAGGUAAAACAUGUGGAAGAAAUUUAAAUAUCAGAUCAUUGUUACAUAGUCAGAAUUGUGUCAAGAUUUUUGAACAGUUUUUGAUGCCACAAUGGGAUGACAAAUAUAUGGCUUUAGUUACUUUUAGCCUUGGAAGUAGUCCUGUUCACAGUAACGUUUAGCUGGCUUCUCUUUCAUGCUUUUCUUUAAUUUCCAGUUUAAGCAAGAGCCUGAUGUUUUAAUUUAUAUUUUUCAAGCCUCCAAAAAUCUGUUGCUUUCAGCUGCUUUCUUUUAAGGCAAUAAGCAGAUCUCCUGUGGAAAAUAUUUUCUCUCACCCUUACUUUUCAGCCAUGUGACAAAUAAAUGAGCUUUAAUUACUGUUUUUGUAGGAAUUGCGUCUCUUUCAGACUUUGAUUUCUAAUUUUAAUUUUGAAAAAUAAAAUAAAUAUGAUCUCUAUGUCAAUAGAAGUCAAAGGAAGAUUAGAAAGUAAGGCUGUACUUUCUCAGCUUUGCAACAAUAGAAUAAAAAGUGGAAUAAUGAACUGUAAAUGUGUCUAAUUACAUAAAUAAUGCAUUUUUGUAAUUGUCUAGUAGGGGUAUGCUAAUGAAUCAAUUGUUUUUAAUUAUAGCAUGCUUGAUUGUUUCAGAAACGUAAUUGGUUGUAAUCAAGAAUCAAUUAAAUGUUUGUAGUAAUUGUAUUUAUCAAAUUAAAUAUAUUUUUAUUGUUUAGAAAAGUAUUCAGAAAAGGAAGUUCUAAUGGACCAUACUAGUGGUAGGUGUUCAUACAAUUGGGCUGACCGGGGUGGCAGUUAGUAUAGGAUAAAGAAGAAACAUUUUCUUCUCAUUUCCGUUUCCAAUCUCAUCUGAUCUGUGAGGAUAAACAAGGGUUUAGAUUUGUUCAGUAUUCAUAACUCUUAGUGUGCUUUAUAAAAUAAGGUCUGACAGAUACCAAGUUCCCCUGCAUGAGACUCUUUGAAAGUUGUGAAACUUGUAAUCAGAAUAAUACACCUUGCAGCAGGAUGGUGGUCUAGGAAGAAUUCAGAAGAGUUCCGGUUCAUCUGCCUUCCCCAGCAAACAGCCCUAGAUGUAUUUUAUAUUCUAAACUAUUUUUACUGUAGUGUGCCACGUGGAGCUGUUUGCUUUUACCCCAAACUAGUUAUUAUUCUUCUUGCAAAUAAACUUUAGUAAUAAAGGAACUUUGUAUAUGAGAUAUACACGAAGCAUAAGGUUAGAGGGCUCUAUAUGUUGAAAACAUUCAAAUGUUGGCAAAAGUAGCCAUAAGAAAGUGAACGCCUGUCUCACUGCAAUAUUUCCACAAGUAUUUUAAGCACUUCUCACAUUUUUGAUAGGGAUGAAUAAAUAUAAUGAGAAUUUCCUUUGUAGAAAAGGAAUUGACUCUGCCUUUGUUGACUCUGUUGGCUAUGGAAAUGUGAAGAACGGGCAACUAAAUUAAGCUAGUAAGUGAAUAGUGAACUGACCAGGUAAGUGAUUAGAACUUUCUUUGAUAUUGCAUGCGUACAUUUUGUCAUUGCUGAAAACUUGAUAGGCCUUUACAGAAAGGGACGUUGUUAGGCUUAUUAUACUGUGGAUAGGAGAAUGGAUAAUCUACUAAUUGCAUAAAGUACAGGCUGUGUGUAUGGUUCUUGUUUCCAUAGUCUUAUUUACUCUGAUCAGCAUAUUUGGUCAGCCUGUGUGCCUAGGGAAGACAGAUCUGCACUAAGCAGUAGGCAAAACACAGGGCUCCCCACUAAGGGAUGCUAUUUAAGGACAUGAGAUCUACUACUGUUGUUCCCUAAAAAGAAGCAUCUUUUUUUUUCUGGUAAACGUGGCAAAUAUAUACAUAGUAAAUAUAGAGUGCCAUCUACUGACAUAUAAAGAGAGAAUAUAUAUGUAGCAUUGUCCACAAAUGUGCCGACUCAAAGUUGUUAUGCUCCUAAUGGCUCCAUGUGCCAGCCUAAUCUCGCCAGAGCUUGCCUUUUCACAGCAGUGCUGUAGAGAGACUGGAAAAGCUGCCAAUUUUCUGCGAAGUAAAGCCCAAGGUUGAUGUGUUGGAUUUAAUUGAAAAGGAGGUUUUUUUUUUUUAAUUAUUUGGAAGAAUCUGAAGUGAUAUCUCCUGAAGUGUUUUUGGUCUGGUGUCAUUGGAAACCAGGCAUAACCUGUGCCUGCCCUCUGAAUCUUCCCUGUCAUGAAUGAUAGGCUGGCUCCUUGUUUUUUCCUCAGGAAAUUGAGUGUUGAAUUCUUGUUUUACUACAAAAUAGUGCUGUAUCAGUAUGUGUUGUCUCUUCACCAUAUAUUGUUCCGUACUUUGAUGAAAUUAUCAGAAUCAUUUGGUUUCCAACCUAUGUGGCUAAUUAUCAUAUAGUGAAUUUCUGAACUUUAGGAUGAAGAGAGUAAUUGACCCUUUUUUUUUUUUUUUUUAAAGCACUGCUUUCUGGAAGUAAAGGUGUCUGUGGAAAAGAAGGCAGUAAAACAAAAGGGAAUUCUAGGAUUUGUAUCUACUUUUACCUGCUCAGAAUGGGUUAAAAAGAUGAAUGAAAUAUUAAGAAAUGAAAACCUUAUUAAUCUAGUGUAUAAACCUGUGGCACGUUGUAUCUGGAAUGCUAUGUGCAGUUUCUGUCUCCCUGCUUCAAAACAAGAUGUUACUCAAAGGAGAGCAGAGUAACAAAGAUGAUCAGAAGUUAAGGAGCUGUUGCUGUACUUGAGUGGUUCCUAUGAAAAUAUGGAAGGAAAUGGUUAUUCACCACUACUCACCAUGGAAGAGUUGAGAGGCAACCACAUGAAAAAAAAAUACAUAUAUUUAUAUAUAAACAAUAAUUAUAUACAUAUAUAUAGUCAUGUACUGAUGUAAUUGUGGAACUUGGUGCCAUAAAAUGGUCUGAGAGCCAAAAUAAUAGGCUCACAACCAUCAGAAAGCCCUUUCCCUCCUAACUUGCACAGCCAAUAGUAUAUGUCCAGGAGAGAUAGUUUUUAUUCUUGUCCCAUUUCUCGUCUUUUCUUUAAUUAUGACCUAUUGGACCUAUUGGGAAAUAGAUUAUUAAAUCAGCUGAACUUUAAACCAAAGCAACAGACUCUUUGUAUCUGAGAGUUGUGCUCUGUUUGCUCUCUGCUCUGUUUGUAGCCAAUAGAGAUAAGCAAUUUUUCUACACGGUGGUAGGGCUGCCACUGAGUGCCUUUUGGAACGUCUGCCCACAGGCUCUGCUUAGGUUGUCCUUCAGGAAGAAGGGAAGUGUGCCAACAACAAGAUUUUCAUCUCCAUUUUGUGGCACAGAUACCUAAAGUAACUAGGAGUUGCACUGCCAAUUGUUGGAUUCCAAAGAUCUAUCUCUUAUCUGCAAUCCAAUGGCAACAUUUUCCAGUUCAGUCCUAUCUCUCUCUUGAGGCUAUUUGUUAAAUUUGAAAAGCCAGAGGGAAUUCUCUUAAGUGAACUGUUUUAAGAUACAAGGGCUUCUCCAAAAGUAAUGCCUCCUAUUUUAUGGUGUUGGCUCACAGUGUCAGAGGUGGGAAUGCAGUAGGGAUUGAACCUUCCCAUCAAUAUUCUGUUAUGUUUCAUUGCUAUUUGACAGAUGGCAGCAGAGGGGCUGUCUGACAAUGGUGUCUGACAUGGAAAUGCAUCUUAAGCAAAGGUGUGGAAUUGAAUUCCUCCAUGUGGAAAAAGUUGCACCCAUUGACAUUCAUCAGUGUUUGCUGAAUGUUGAUGGAGACUGAACAGCAGAUGUGAGCAUGGUGAGGUGGUGGGUGGUGCAUUUCAGCAGUGGCAACAGUAUGUCACCUCCAUUGGAGCAUAUUUUUUACAAGUGUGGCAUGAAGGCUGGCUGUCAAAAAUGUGUAGUUUAUAGCGGUUACUAUGUUGAAAAAUAAUGUUUAGUAGCUGAGAAUUUGCUGUGUCAAAUAGUGUUAUUGUGCUCUUUGUGUGUGCUACAGUUUCCAUGGAAACUGUAGAGAAAAACAAUAAAAGGCCUUUGUUCCAGUCAACAAAGUUAGGUGGUAGGACACUGGAAGAACCCUACCAUGCUAAGUUUGGUUCCUGGGACCUGCCUGCAUAUGUACUAAUGUCACAGUAUCUGUUGAGAUUGGUUUAACUAAAUGAGGCUGUCUGAAAAGGUGUUAAUGUCCUGAUGCAGGAGAGUCUUGUGUGAUUGCACCUGGAGAUGGGAAGCAAGUGAAACACGAGUGGUGUUCUAAUAUCCUUUGUGUUUUGUUUUUCUUUUUUCUUAUUAAGUGGUAAUGCAUGCGUACUUUGAAGAAAUGCUCUUAAGAAAAGUUAAUUCUAUGUGGAUGAAAUAAUUUGCUUGAGAAGAGCAGUUGGAUGAGAAAUAGCAAUCCUUGCAGUGCCACAACGCUGUACCACCAGACCGGCAGGUCACACUUUGGCAAACACAGAGCUCAUGCAUUUCUUUCAGUGAUAAUACUGUCAACUCCAAUUUACAGCAGUCUGUUUUAAUGCAGAGCUUACCAAUAAUUUGUAGUGAUCAGAAGAUCAAUAAGAUUUAGCAUUUGCAUUUAGAAUGAACAAGUAACUGUUGGGAGUCCUCCUGGGGGCUCCUUUCUCUUCUCUGGCUGCGACAGUUCUGAGUCCUCAAAGUUGAAUUGAUGUAAUUUUAAUUUUAGGAUGUAAGAAUCCAGACACUUGCUGUUUUUAAAUUGAGCAACUCAUGAAAGUAAAAUCAGGGUUCUGUGUCAGUGAUGGAAUUUUAUCUCCUUGUUUUUCAGCCUUACAGAUGCAAGCACACCCUGGCUAUUGGCCCUGACUGCUAGAAGCAGCAGCAGCAGUUGUGUAACAGUCUUUCUCCAGGGCUUGCUUCCCUCCAUGGAGUGACCUCUUUCCUAGCUUAUUGAGAUAAAAUCUCCUAGAUUCUUGACCUGAUCUGAUGGAGGUGGCAACUGAGUGGCAUUUUUUAACUCAGUAGUCUCCCCAUGAGUACACCAUCUAGCACAUAUUAUACCUUUAAAAAAUGCAAUAAAUAAACACCCUCCCUUUCACUGAAAUCCAGCCAUGGCUUUGGUGUCUUCUGGCAUAGGGCUGUUUCGUGCAACCUGUUGAAUUGAAGGGAUUUUUUCCCCUCUCUAAGUCUGAUUUUUAGGUACACAGCACUCAACUUGUUCAAAAAUACUUUCUCAGAGCAGCAAGGCAUUAAGAGUAGAUUUCUGAGAGCUCCAGUGAGAAAAGUGUCAUGUGAAAUUAUGUAGGAAGAAGAGCCAGCAACUGUUGCUGUGUUACUAGGAGAAAAGCCCUUUAACAAUCAAACACAAGAAUAAUACAGAGGAAAACAUAUUUUAGCUCUCCUAAUCUCUAGAGUGUUUUUUCUUUUAAUGAGUAAACCUGAAGUCUGUUUCUCUUAAUGUUGUCAUCUGUUGAUCUACCAUAUCCGUCCUAAAAGGAUAUCAUCGAGUUGAGAUCCAUGCUUGUUAUAAAGCUGGUACUAAUUUAGAGGGGGGGGGGGGAAGGGUAUCAGAAAAAGGUUUCUCUGACAAGAAAUGCCAAUUAUCUGUAAUGCUUGUCACUAGUUGUAGUCCUAUAAUCUAGUCAGUGUAUAUAUAAUUCCUCUGGUAAAUUAUGAAGACAUCCUGGAUUUUGGACUAUUUGCAAAUAUUAUGUUCAUCUUUUGUGCAAAUCAAGUGCGUGUAUGUAAGUGUACAGACGUUUAAAAGAAAUGAUUCAUCAACUGCAGCUUGUGGCAUAAGAGUGAUACAAAGACAUUCUUAAGCUUUUGUAUUUCUGGGUAAUUAAAAAAAGCCAAAAUAUUUUCUAAUCUGACGUUACUGGGUUUCUAAGAUCUGUGCAUUUGUCAACAAAAUGGAAAAUUAUUCUUGCCCCACAUACAUAAGAGUAGGUGCAGAUCAGUUACAGAGAAUUUGGUGGCUUACUGCUGAAAUUUCUUUGUUUCCUAAACUGUAAUGAGUACAGACUCUGGACUUAAAUUUUAUUAAGAUUACUGAAUUGAGUCCUAUAGGCAUGAAUUAUUUCAGGUGGCAAUGCAAAUUUUCUCUAGCUGCUUAAUACCUGCUCAGGAAAAACUAUUCUGAUUCUAUUCUUGCUGCUGGAGGAGGCAGGCACAUUAAUCCACUUUGCUUACUUCGCAGUUACUAAAAUUUAUUAUUUUGGAGAUGAUUUUUUUUCAGAACCUUGCCCACAAAUUGCUAUAAGUGCACCUCUGGAGAAGUUUUUAUCAUUGUUUCAGAUGUAUAGGAAAUGGUAUUACAAAGGAUUCUUUUGCUUGCAUGUUUCAGCUUUAAGAUUCAGGUAGCAGCCUGCCUGAUCAGAGAAUUGGCUCAAUGUGGCCAGAAUACAUAGCUUGCUUAUUUGAGGGCCCUCUGCGUUCAGUAUUUUCUGAGGCUUUUCCUGUCCCCGUCAUUUGUUGUGCUGACCAUUUUCAAGUGCAUAACUGCUCCCAGUAGCCUGUAAUUGCAGGGUCGGUCUAAGGUGAAACUGUCUUGUUUAGGGAAAGACAUGAAUGGUCUGCUUAGGCCAUAUGUUGUUGCCUUGUCUUUUUCUUGAAACCUUUGGGUAGCUCAGCAUGUUACGUACAAUGAUUAGGAGCACCAAACUCUUUCAGAAUACAUGACUGGGGACAGCUUAGCUUCAGUGUAAUUGGGAGCAUUGCAGGGUCUGUUCAAGCUGGAGUCUUAGGUGGCAUAGUAAGAAACUAAUUCUGAUCUAUUGUUUGAUUUUGAGGGUGAACUCCAUCACAUUUCUGCCUUUUUCUUGAGCAGUUCUAUUGCAGAGAAUGAAACCCAGCAGGUGUUUAUUUCUGUUUGUUUACAAAAGCAUCAUUUUUUCAUGCCUGUGGAGUUGGCUUCUCUACAUCAGCCAGCAGCUAGCGUGUCUGGAGGAAUUUGUUUCUUCUUUAAGAGCUGAGGUUUUCUUAGACAUGAAUGCAAAAGCCAGAAAAGGGUUGAGCUAUGAAAGAAUGCUGCUUUGACAGGCAGCUUGCUUACAGCCUUCCAUUGAUGUUCAGUCUAGAUGUUCACUCUGUUAAUUUGGUUAGAAACACUUAGGGACAGAGAUCUAUUAUUUCCUCAGUGGAGAGAGAAAAAAAAAAAAAAGGCAAGGUAAAGCUUUGUUUUAAAAUGAUUAAGGUUGCUAAGUAACAGUCUUCCCUAAAUUGAGUGUCUUCCUCAACAACUAAUCUCAAAGUCUUAAAAAGUGAGAAACUAAAGAUGUGAUAGAUCUUACUGUGUCCACGUGAGAAACAGACAUGUGGAGUUAAACCUUGGUCCCACUAUUGUCAAUGAAAAAAAAUCCACUGACUUCAAUGGCAUGAAUAUUUCCCCACUGGUUCUCAUCCAGUGUAGAAGAAUAUGUAGUAUAAUGUGCUUAUUUCGCAAUUUUGCUUAUUUUUAAUGAACUAAUUAUUAGAAUAUCCAGGUUUCCGCUAAGUUUUUACAUCUGCGAUUUUUUUUAUUUUGUUCUGGCAGAGAGAUUUUGACAAGUGAGAGGUUUGGUCUGUCACUAAUCUUAUGAAAUUUAUCAAGAGUGAGUGCCUGAUUCUGGACCUGGGAAAGGGCAACCCUGUAUAUAUAGGGGGAUAUAGGGGAUGGGGGAUAGGGAAUGAAAGGCUGGAGAGCAGCCCCACGGAAAGGGAUCUGGGGAUUCUGGCUGACAGCAAGUUGAACAUUAGCCAGCAGUGUAUCCUGACAGCCCAAAGGGCCAACUGUACCUUGGAGUGCACUGGGCCCAGCACUGCCACGGGGCGAGGGGAGGGGUUGUCCUGCUCUGCUCUGUGUUGUGCAGCCUCACCUCCUGCACUGGUUGCAGGUUUGGGUGCCACAACACAAGGAGAACAUAAAGCUAUUAGAGAGUAUCCAAAGGAGAGCUAUGAAGGUGGGUAAGGACUUAGGGGGCAAGAUGUAUGAGGAACUGUUGAGGUUUGUUCAGUGCAGAGCAGAGGAGCUGAGGGGAGCCUUCAUGGCAGCCACAGCUCCUCACAGGGAGUAGAGGAGCAGAGCUGAGCUCUGCUCUCUGUGACAGCAAAAGGGCCUAAGGGAAUGGCAUGGAGCUGCAUCAGGGGAAAGGUAGGUGGGGGUUAGGAAAAGGUGCUGCACCAGGGGGCAAUGGGCAUGGAAUAGGUUACCCAGGGCAGUAUGCAUGGCGUCAAGUGUUGAAGUCCAAGGGAUGUUUGGACAGCGCUAUCAGAUGCAGAGCUGGAUUUUUGGUGGUACUGUGUGAAGCCAGGAGUUGGAUUCUGUGAUUCUUGGGGGUCCAUUUCAACUUGGGAUGUCUUAUGUUUGUUUGAAGCAGAUGAAGAAAUACUCAAAUACGGGAAUGAAAGCAAAUGUUAACAUAAAUUUAAGAAGAGAAUUUAUCAGGCUAAGUUAAUGAUGAUUGUAUCCAUCUGUGUGUACGUGCUGUUGCCCAGUUACUUGUGUUAGUUACAGAGAUGUAACACGGAUCUGCUUUUUUUGCAAUGUGUGCAAAAGUAGAGGGAAGCAGACUUGAGUUUUAAGUUGAGGACCAGAACCACAUCCUUCUGCUUCAGAGCAGAAUACUGUAUGGUGUAGCACCUCUUGAUCAAGCCAAUAAAUCUCUCACAGUACAGAGGUGUCUAAUCUAACAACAUCUGGGUCAUUACCAGAAAUGGAAGUGAAGUAAGUUCGGCACAUAGAUGAGUGAUCUUUGCUAUAGAUUUAUUAGCUCUAUUGAAGUACUGCCCUGACACUUCUGGCCCUGGGUUGGUUUACCUGUGUGACAUUGUGCUGCACAGAACAAACGGAUGAGUAUGGUUAGCCACUUGCUCAAAUGGUCAUCCACUAUGAUCCAUGCACAUUGUAGACAUACUUCCCAGUAAUUUUACUGGUGAGUUUUGUAGUUAUGUUAUAUGGCUUCUAUUUCUUUCUCAUUUGAAGAUCUCAGAGCUGUUGACAGCUUUCAGAAGUUGGUAAACAUUAUUAUUGUAGUUGGGUUUUAUGUUAUUUUUCCUGUGAAUGUCUGGGGAGAUAAUUAGACUUGGAGGUGUUUAAGACCAGGUUAGAUGGGACCCUGGGCAACCUGACCUAGUACUUGAUCUAUCAAUUGGCAACCCUGCCUGUGUCAGAGGGAUUGGAACUUUUGAUGGUCCUUGAGGUCCUUUCCAACCUAGGCCAUUCUGUGAUUCUAUGACAUAGAAUGAAAUGUGAAUUUGUCACAAAUGCAUAAGAGGUCAGUUUUCUCAGUCUCUCAUCAUGGUUGGGUUUCUUUUCUGGUUUUCAAAUUUAAUUGUAAGAACAGUGCUGAUGCUCGCAUACAUAAGAUGAUUAUUUUGCAUCCUUGCAGUUCUCUAGAAAAUAUAGCAAAUGUGAAAUCUACGCACACAGUUUCCAAAACACUUGUUACUGUAUACAUAUGGGUUGAAUACACUGGGAGAUUUUACUUUUGUGGUGAAUUUUUAUGCUUGGCCACCAUAUGUUUUCCAUCCUGUCUUUGUUGCACCAUCCUCCUAAUGGUGCUUAGCUUCUUUGCGGUCAUGUCUGAACUGCUCUCAACUUUUGUCUGACACUAUAGUCUGGCCAGGUAAAGUAUGUGCCAUUGGAUGAGGAGUUUGGACAGAGCUGACAUUACAGCUGAAGAGCUCCAGGCAUUCAGGUGAGGGAAUCUAUCCAUUCCCUCUGCCCUGCUUCCUUCUCCACUAGAGGAGGAAAAAAAAAAAAAGCAUACUAAUAAGCAUACUAUCCAGUGUUGCCAGUAUCAAGAAAAUGGGAAACUUAUUGUGUUGGGUUUUUGUAGUAAGGUUUUGGUACCGGGAGACAAAGGGAAAAAUUGCUACGCAACAGCAGCUGGGAAGGAGAGAUUAUGGGAGAUAUGGGAAAGAAAUAACUCUGCAGCCAUGAAGGUCAGUGCUGGAGGAGGGCAGGAGGUCCUCCAGAUGUGAAGCAGAAGCUCCCUGCAGCCCAGCAGAGGCCCAUGGAGGAGCAGGCUGUUCUCCUGCAGCCCACGGGUACUGUGCAGAAUAGAUAUCCAUGUGCAGCCAUGGAGGAACCUGCGGUACAUCAGUGGAUGAGGCCUGAAGGAGGUACAGCCCAUGGAGAGCCCCCGCAGGUUCUAGCCUAUUAGUAAUAGGUCUGUUUUGCUCGUGACAGUAAUUGGUGAACAAUCUUCCUCUCCUUAACAUAAUCCUCAAGCCCUUUUCCACUGUAUGUUCUCCUCCUGUUCCUUUGAGGAAGGGGAGUGAGAGAGCAGUGUGGCAGAGUUUAGUUACCUGUCAGGGUGAAACCAGCACACUCAUGCAACUGCAUUGUUAAGCAGAAACUGUUAAAUUACAUUCCUCUCUCUUCAGAUUUAAGUCACUCAAUGUUGUUUUGUCUUUAUCUGUCUAAAACUAAAUUCCUUACAGACUGCUCAUUUUUAAAACAACAACAACAAAAACACCUGUAAAUCCAGAUCUUCUAUCUGUCUUCUGUUCAGUAAGAGUGUUGAGAAAAUACUGUCUUGUGAGUGCAACUUUUGUUGCUUCUUCACAGAGCUAUUUUUUGCAUUUUAGGAUCUAUUAAAAAUCUUUGUCGUGUUGUGACCAUUUAGCCAAGUGAUUCAGGCUAUUUGUGGCAGUAACCAGCUCCCUCAUUACUCACUGUUCCAUGAAUCUAUCAAUUGAAACACUUUGCCUCCAAAGAUUUUCUAUUCUCAUUCAUUGGGAAUAUCCCCAGAUAAUCAGUUAAAAAUAUUGAUAAGAUUUAGACCAAAAAUGAUCUUUGAAGUACCUCACUGAUUAGCUGCCCAAUUCAUUAAUGUUUUCCUAAUCUUUUCAUAGAAUCAUGGAAUCGCUAAGGUUGGAAAAGACCCACAGGAUCAUCCAGUCCAACCAUUCGCCCUUCACCAAUGGUUCUCGCUAAACCAUGUCCCUCAACACAACAUCCAAACAUUCGUUGAACACCACCAGGCUCGGUGACUCCACCACCUCUCUGGGCAGCCCAUUCCAGUGCCUGACCACCCUUUCAGAGAAGUAGUAUUUCCUAAUGUCCAGCCUGAAUCUUCCCUGGCACAGCUUGAAGCCAUUCCCUCUAGUCUUAUCACUAGUCACCCAAGAGAAGAGGCUGACCCCCAGCUCACUACAACCUCCCUUCAGGUAGUUACAGAGAGCAAUAAGGUCUCCCCUGAGCCUCCUCUUCUCUAGACUGAACAAUCCCAGCUCCUUCAGCCGCUCUUCAUAAGGCCUGUGCUCAAGACCCCUCAUCAGCUUUGUUGCCCUCCUCUGGACACGCUCCAGGGCCUCGAUGUCUUUCUUACAUUGAGGGGCCCAAAACUGGACACAGUACUCAAGAUGCGGCCUCACCAGUGCUGAGUACAGGGAGAAAGGUGUCAUCUUCAGGUGUGUUGGUAAAGUAGCGGUAAAGUGUGUGUUGCUGCUUCUAUAUACCACCAUUUUUAAAUUGUAAGAUUACAAAAUCAAGAUGUCAGAGUACUAAGUCAGAUGUAUUUAUUUAUUUUAAAAUCCAAGUUCUCCAUUAACAAAAGGGUUUUUUUUAGCAUCCAAACAUCAUAUGUUUUAAAAAAUGUUAGUCGUUCAUUUGACAACACCCAUUUACAUGAAACUUGUUGACAAAAAUUGUUUUCUUUCUUAGCAUCUGUCUCUUUGUUAACAGUGCCUGUUGUUGUCCGGUCUAUUUAGGUAUCUUAGGAGCCAUAUCAGGUUAUUUAGACACUAGAUCCUUAUUUUUUACAUGGACAUACUUUUAGAAACUCCCAACUAUGGAUCCAAAUUUACAUUUCUGUAAUCAGAUAGAAAUUAUCUAUCUAUAUUUUGCUGUCAGGAUCUUAUUUCAUUUCCAUUUUGGGACAGCUAGUAAUUGUUACCAGUUUUCACUAAUACUUCUCUAAUUUCUUUAAUUCCAAAAUACAGUUAUGGUGAUAGUUGCUUAAAUUAUUCAGAAACUGGCAAUUUGAAAAGUUCUUGUUUUAUUUUAUAUCGUUUAUUGCACCAUAUAUUGCUCAAACAAAGCAAAUGAAAUGCAAUACCUCUUUUUCAAGGCAUCCACUUCAUUUCAAAGUUAGUGAUUAAUUCUUCUUUAGUCUUUAAGGUCAUUGUUAAGUUACCUCUCUAUUGAUUGCUGAGCAUGCUCUCUAAUCAGUUAUUGCAUACUAUUUUUAAGAGCUAUAAAUGUUGAAUAUUUUCUAGAUUGUUGUUAAAAUUGAAGUAAAUUUUUUGAACCUGUUACACGUUGCUGACAGCCAUUAAUUAAAAAUGUUGUCUACUUGCUAUUUUUGCAAGUGGAUGUCCUCCAGUUAUCCCAUCUUUGAUUUUGUGAGUCAGACUUCUCAUGUUCUGAUUUAUCUGCUGAAAAGAUAAUACAGACCCUGAGAUAAACUUAUUUCAGCGUCCUAGUAUUAUGAUCUAUUCCAUUGGGCUUCAGUAAUAUUUCUCAUACUUUAUUUUUAUUCUCUGCACAUGAAUAACUUUAGUUCUUCUGGCCAUGUCCUUUCAAAGGUUUGCUAUGAUUGUAUUUAUGUUGAGAGUAGCUUACAUAACAGUGGUUGAACCACUGUUACUCUGUUGAAUGAAAAACAUUCCUCGUUACCUGACCAUGUUUAUUCUCUCAGAGAAGAAAUGUUUUACAAAGACAGGGCCAACUGAUAGAGGUGUCAUAAGAGACUUCCCAUUACUUCACAAAUCAAAAUGUACCUCUUGGUACCCCACCAACAUUUUAGCUCACUGAUACGGCCUACCUUUCAGAUUUAGCUCAUUCGUUGUUUUUGAGGGAAAAAGAGGCAUGUAUAAUAUGACUUUCCAAAUAUUCAUUUUCAAUUACUGGAAAUUCUUCCUUGAUUAGUCAAUUGCAGGUUGGUAAGUCACCAAGGGUACCAACAACUGAGGCUUACUGCCAGAGAAAUGACUCUUUCUCACCUUUUCUGUUCUACUUUUGGAAGAUAGAAAAAGCGUCCUGCUCAUCAGCACAGAUACUCAGUGAACAUGAUCUUCACAUGAAUGCUUUCAUAACUUAGUCAUACGCCUGCAUUUUGAACUGGUCUCUAGUUCACUUCUUUGUCUUCAGGUGCUUCUUUCAUCACGUUAUUCCUUAGGUCCAUCUGUGAAGACAUACUUUAAGUCCUCAUUCUUGGUGUAUUAAUGAUGGCUUGCAAAUUGGCAUUGUAACUGUGUAUAUGAACAAAAUAUCUUUGAAAUGCAUCUUAACUUUUCUGCAAACUACACUUGCUAUACAUUGUCACCAACAAUACAAACAUUAGAACACUUUGACUUGUUCCGAAUUGUGGAAGUGGGAAAUACGUGUGUUAUUUUUUCAAACGGAUUUCUUAUAAAUGAAUGAUUUGUCUAUAGAAGCAAAGUUGCACUUAUUUCUGCAUGAUUUCAAGUAUUACCCUGUGAACGUAUAAUUUUGUAAGACAGACAAGAAAUGAUCUAGUUUACAAGAAAUAAGUAAUCCAUUAGAUAUCAGCUAUGUUGUGUUUUAUUACUGUAUUUUAUUACUGAUAAUGGUGAGUCUAAGGAACCUGGCAAAUUUAAAACAAAAUGAUUAGUAUUUUCAAUAGGGCCUUCCCCAUUAUUUACUCAGAUUUGUGCUUUCUUUAAAAAUCCACUUUUUAUGUUUUGAACAUAGCCAAAAAGUUCAUUGUUUUUAUUAGAAAAAAACUUAUGCAACAUGAAACUCUUUUAUUGUGAUAUAUUUAUUUGUGAUCUACUGUAGUAAUUUACAAAUAUGCUUAUGAGAAACUGCACUCAUGAGCAUAAAACUGUCUAGACAGAAAAUUCUGGUUAUGUGAGAAAAGAAGUUUCUUCCACUUAAUUUAAAUGUGAUGUUGAAAUGAAACAUUAGUACAAAGGGAUUUAAAGAUAUCGUAUUUUGGAGAUUGAGUUAUUGUGGUAUUAUGUUAAUAAUAAACCGUUUUCAUAGGUCAUCAAGCUUAUAAUGAAAAGGAUUGAUUAAUUUAGGGAACCUAUACAGAAAAUUAAGGCUUUCUAAAGUAUUCAUGACACAGACCCCAGCAAAUAACAAGUGCCUUAUUAAGAAGUUCUGUUGCUAGGAGACAGUAACCACAGGGCCAGAAUAACAUGUUUUUAUUUCAUAUAAGAAAUGCUGUUUAAUGCAGAUCAUUAGGUAAUGAGCAAGUAUGGCUAUGUGAUAUAAGGGUUUGUGCGAAUGUUUAAUUUGUGAGACGGAAAGCCACUGAAAAUUGAAAGUCUUUAAAGUAUACCUCAGUGUCGUGUGCCACAGGAACAGACUGGUGGCGAAGAUCUGUUUGAAGUUUCACUGAAAGUAGGUAGGCAGCCUGCUGCAAAGUACUCAGGUGGAGUAAUUACAGUACAUAAAUCAAAUAGGAAUAAAUAAAGACAAUAAAUGGCUUUAAAAGAUGAGAUGUUCAUGCAACUGUUUAAUCUUGCUGAUACAGAAUCAAGUUAAGCAAUGGAAAGAACGAUGUGAUUCAUAAUGCCAUGUAAUAAGCUGUCUAAAAACAAAGUCUGUGAAAGCACAAGAGAGACAGGAAGGCUCGGUAUCACCAGCAGGAAUAUGAUAAUGUGUUAUAGAAGAUGCUGAGAAUGACCACAUCUAAAGAAAUAUCAAAAUAACAGAUUCUUUGCUGGAUGUUAUUUAUGAUAUUGUUUCUAGAGUUGUUUUAACUAUGGAAAUUGUGCAAAAAGAAUCUGAAAGAAUUUCACCCAGAAAACAUGUUCCACCUCACUAAUAUGUAGUCAUAAACACAUGACAGAGGGGCUUUCUUGUUGAACUCUGCCAAGUCAGCAUCCUAAAACACCCCAUGCUCUGGCUGUGUGCAUGUUCUCCAUGUGACCCAACUUGCCCAGACUUGCUAGCUUUUGGGGUUGCUGAAAGCUGUGCUGACAGCUCUUAGCUGGGUUGUGAGGAGAUGCAGAUUUAUGCCUUUAAUUCUGGUACAGCUGGUAAGUACGCAGGCUUUGGUGUAUAAGUUCUUCAUGAAGGAGGAGAUACUUUUGGAACAGUGACUAGAUGCUGCUGUUAUAAACAUCUUUUCUACAUCUUUUCAAUGAAAGCAGCCGUAAGCUGGAUGUAGGCCCUGUUGCUGAUUCAUGCACAUGUGUUUCUUUCACUUUGAUUAGAACAGAGUAUUCAAUUUAUAAUGUGAAUAUAUGCCCUUGCUAAAAUCAUUACUUUAAUCAUUUAAUUGUUGUUGAUUUUAUGUUGUCUCAAAACUUACCAGAACUGAUGCAGUAGUACUCCCUCCCCUUACAAAUAAGAGUAUGUGGAUGAAUAGCAUAAAAAUAAUUCUAAGUUUUGAAUGCAGGUAAAUAUUUUAUGUUCUCCCGACCACCACCAUCUACUUUGGACACCUUUCUAGGAAGUGCUUUUGUGAAUGGCUCGGCUGGCAGAAUUUUUCAUGGAAAGAGCUAAUGUUCAAUACAUGUAAGUAUUUGUGGAAAUCAUAUUUUUACCUCUUACAAAUGUAAAGUUGUUCCAUUAAGUUUAACCAUACAGGCAACAGACAAAAAAAAAAAAUGCAGCUUGAUAUUUGCAACCAAUGAGAAGUUAAGAAAAAAAAUAGAAAAGAAAAAAAGAAGUAAACAAUCUCAGGAUCAAACUGUAUAGGCUCAGGGUUGAUUUAUAGAAAUUGCUUAGUGAAUAAUGAAUACAUUUGUGAUUUAUUUGAAAUCAUGAAGAUUGCAAGCUGCUCCUGGUUAACUCACAAAGGGGGGAAAAUAACAAAAUACAAAACUUAAUUAAUUUGAAUAAUUUAUUCCUCUAUAAAGUCAUCCAUUCAACGCGAAAUAGAUUUCCAUCCCUCUCCUCAGCAGCUUUAUGCCCAAAUUAAGGGGGUAGCCAGAGGGGACGUGUGGACUUGGGAGAAAUUUGAGGUUCACUGGAUUUUCAGCUGAGGACCACGCUGAGAAUGUCCUGCACUUGUUCUCUGCUUCUGCUAGUAGCAAAAACUAAAGAACUCACCCGUUGUUGGGUGAAGCUUUUGGAAACCUUCCAGUAUGGCUUGGAUAAUACCUGAGAAUGGAUUCCCUGCUACGAGGUGAUAUACUUUGUUAAAAAGUGUCUGCCUUUUACCUAAACUCAGUUAAUCUCUAGAGCUGUUUAUAGGCCCACCCAUAGCUGAUAACUGUUACCAGGAAAGAAAUCUGCC